UCGAGGUAAAGUCAAGAACGAACGUCGCGGAAUAAGGCAACUUAUAAUUUCGAUAACUGGAUAACCGAUUAAUUCAUUAAUUUUCACUUGUGUGCGUGUGUGUUUUGUUAAAAAAUUUCCACAGCCUAAAGUUUCUAAAGAUACAAAUAAAAUAAUCUGAGCAAAUAAAAGAUUUAAAACGAACUACGAACGAGAACGCCUUUUUUUGCUGUGAAAUCGAUGGCAGUGUUGCCAUUUUGGUGGUAUUUUAUUAAAAAAUUGCACGGCAGAUAAAAUAAAGUAAUAACAGAUUUAAAAAGGAAUACAAAGUUUCUGAUUCGAAAUCGACUUAAGUCAGCGAAACAUCAAAGCUUUUAAAAGUUUUUCGUUCUUGGAUUAGAUUAACAACUCGCAAAGCUGGCGGAGGAGACGGCAGAGAAUUCCAACAUGAGUUGGGGUACUGAAUUAUGGGAUCAGUACGACAACUUGGCGAUACACACAAACAAAGGCAUUGAAUUCUUGGACAAAUAUGCAAAUUUCAUACGUGACCGUUUAGCGAUAGAAACAGAAUAUGCCAGCAAAUUAAGGUAAGUG
rnacentral:sRNA from 1 species